rnacentral:lncRNA from 1 species
GAUGUGUUCUACUUCCCAUUGAGAGGAUUCUGGUAGGUUUCUCUAAUAGUAAAACUAACUAACAAUUGUAGUUAACUGUACCGCAGCGGCGCACUUCUUAUUCCUGGAUUAAGCCUAGGCCUACUCUACGAAUCAUGUAGUAUUGUUGUGAACUCAUAAGUAAAACCAUUCUCUAUCCAAUACAGAGUUGGCGUAGUAUUGUUGUGAACUCAUAAGUUUCUAUUUUAAUUUUUCUUUCACUUGAUCUUCAGGUUUACAGGGUUAAUGGAUCCAUGCUUCAAUGAAUUUAUAGAAGUGCGUUCACUUAUCUAGCUUUUUGUUCUCAUUCUGUUUGAAAUCCGUAGACAUUUUCCAAAAUUUUCUUGUCAAUGCACAAGUUUCCUUAUUUAGAGAAAAAGCAUACGCCCGACUUUAUAAAUAAAGCCAUAAGGCAGGUAGCAACAACAUCACAGAUAAGUAUCAAACACACCCAAGCCCCAACGACGGGCGAGAUGACAGGGGAGAAAGUCCAGUACAUGGCUCCCUCGCCAGUACACAACACGCAUGCCGAAAGAGAAAGGUCCAACUAAAACUAAAGCAUCCGGCCCAAAAGAAGCAAUUAAGCAUCAUGCUCUUGUCUGCAUAACUGAGACGCCGUAGCCCGGAUUUUGUAGAUCAACAUAGAGAGCGCCUCUUGGUCAUCGACCUUAGUCAAUGAUUUCCACUGCUGCAGGAAAGCACACGAUUUAAAUAAGCAGUCAGCAGGUUUAGCCGGAAACACGUGCUCGAUAGUAAAUUUGUUCCUAGUCGUCCACAGGGACCAACAUAAAGCUCCCAAGCCCACCCAAAAGAUGCGCCUGGAGAUGCCGGAAAGGUUGUAUGCCAAGUUGCCCAACUUGGCAAAGGAGGCAGGGGCCCAAGAAACACGGAGCCAGUCCCGCACGCAACUUCAAAUGAGCUUAGCCAGGUGACAAUGAAAAAAAAAUGUGUUCCGUGUCUUCCACAUCACCGCAAAGGGCACAGAACUGGGAGCCCGGUCCAUUUCUCUUACGAAUUUGAUCAGCCGAGGGCAACCGGACUCGGAAAGCUUGCCACAAGAAGAUUUUAAUCUUAGGGGGAAUACGGGCCUUCCAAAUCUGGGAGAAACGAUUAGUAGGCGUGCCACCAACAAGCUUAGAGUAAAGUGAUUUAACAGAAAAGCGUCCAGAGGAAGAUAGUGGCCAGAGCACCGAAUCCUUGACCGUCGAGAGCGUAGGGAAGAGGGCAGUAAGACGUUGUCGAUCUUUGAACUCUACAUGCGACAGGGAGUGGCAGAAGGCCAGGAUCCACCCCUGGGAAGCUAACUUCGCAAUAGAAAUAUUUGGAUCAGAGCAAUAAGAGAAAAUGGUAGGGAAGGUCACCGAGAGAGGUGAGUCUCCACACCACCAGUCUAGCCAAAACCUAAUCAAGGAGCCGUCCCUAACAACAAACUUAACGAAAGAUUGAAAAAUUGGUCUAACUUUGACCAAAGACUUCCAAAACUGAGAACCACCACGCUGCAGAGCAAACAUCGGGCUAGAGGAUGGAAAAUAUUUAGCCUUAAGGAUCGACAGCCAAAGGGGCUGAUCCUCAACACUCAUAAUCUUCCACCACCAUUUAAUCAUCAGGCAUUGGUUCAUGAUGGAAGUAUUAAGAAUCCCUAACCCCCCAAGGUUUUUGGGCCUACACAUCAACUUCCAUUUAACAAAACGGUAUUUGCGGUGAUUGUCCGCCGCAUUCUAGUAAAAUGCCCCACGGUGUUUAUCAAAACCAACAUGAAUCCCAGCUGACAAGAGAUAGAAUCCCAUCAGGAACAUGGGGAGGGAGGAAAGACAAGCAUUAAUCAAAGCCACUUUACCCACAUUCGUGUUAUAUCUACCCCACUAGGGAAGGACCCUGUUGCCCACCUUUGUGACCACCGGGGCAAAAUGUUUGGCAUGAAGCACGUCCGGGGAAAUUGGCAGGCCCAAGUAUUUGAACGGAAAGGAGCCCAACUUACAGUUGAGAAGGUGUGCUACUCGCACGGCUUCCGACUCAUCCACACCAGUAACAACCACUUCACUUUUGGCAAAGUUAAUCUUAAGCCCCGACAUCGCCUCGAAGCAUAAUAAAAUAAACUUGAGGUGAGCAAGGCAGGCAUCAUCCAGCUCAACCAUAAUAAUAGUGUCGUCCGCGUAUUGGAGGUGGGUCAGACCAUGGGGAAUAAGAUUAGACCUAACAGGAGUAAUGUGCCCGCAAGUAGCUGCCCUAGAGAGCAAGCGAGAUAAGGCAUCCGCAACGAAGUUGAACAGAAUGGGCGAGGCAGGGUCGCCUUGCCGCAGGCCCCUACCAUUGGCAAAGAACUUGCUAACCUGACCAUUAACAUUGAUGGCAGUGUGGCCUCCCGAGACCAACUGCAUAAUUCUAUGGACAAGGGGCCCCUCAAACCCUUUAGCCAAUAAAACUCUACAUAAAAAAGGCCAACUCACCGAAUCAUAGGCCUUCUCAAAGUCUACUUUAAGAAUCACCGCUUUCGAAUUGCGAAUCUUAAGGUCAUGAACGAUUUCAUGCAGGCAAAGAACCCCGUCUAGAAUGAAACGACCCUCAAUGAAAGCCGACUGAAAAGGGCUGAUGGUACGGUGGGCAAUGGGGGAGAGGCGAGUGGCUAACCCUUUUGCCAGAAACUUGGCGACGUUAUUAAUAAGGGCAAUCGGCCUAAAUUGCAAGAUCGAGUCCGCGCCCUUGACUUUAGGUAUAAGGGUAAUGACAGCAUAGUUAAGGCGAGAAAUAUCCACCGUACCCAACUAGAACCCUUGGAUAAUUUUACAAAUGAGAACCCGCAACUGCGGCCAGAAUUUUUUAAAGAAGGGGAUAGAAAAACCAUCAGGACCAGAGGCAGCGUUCGGGUUAGCCGAGCUAAUCACCUGCCAAAUUUCCUCGUCAGAUAAAGGGACCAUCAGGCCCAACUUUUCGCCCGGAGAAAUCCUAGAACCCUCAUCCCAGAAACCAGAGCAGAGGUCAAGCCCAGGGUCCGGCUUAGAGCCGAGGAGAUUGGAAUAGAAGCCAACAAUGUGAUUCAUAAUGAGGGACUGGUCCAAGAUUCUGACGUCGUCAAUCAACAGAGUGUCAAUGAAACAUCUGCGAUGUCUGCCAUUAGCGAUCGCAAAGAAAUACGUCGUCAUAGCAUCCCCCCUUCAAGGUCCAAUUAAGGGCACCUCGUUGGCGCCAGUAAAUUUCCGACUGUUGGUGUAGCAACAUCAAAGCGUCUUCCAGGGAGUAACGAAUAGCCCACUGAGAGGCGGAGAGACCAGACGUGUCAGCAGAGUAAUCCAGAUCCCGGAGUUGAGAUUCAAGGGAGUCUUUGUCUCUACGGAGCUCAUAUGCCCUAUUCCGAGACCACCCCCUUAAGAAUUUACGAAGCUCAUAAGACAGUUUGUGCCAAUCAUCCAUGGGGCCAAAGGAGCGAUGAGGAGAAGAAAGAAAAUUAGAGAUCUUUGAAACCAUCAUCUCAAAAAAAACCUCCACAACAAGCCAAGAAGCAUCAAACUGGAAACGGGAGGGAGAAACGAGGGAAAGGAUACCCGCAUCCAGGACCAGGGGGACAUGAUCAGAGCCAACCGCAGGCCUAGCCUUAAGCAGCGCGCGGGGAAACAGCGAGUCCCACCGAUCAGACACAAACACCCUAUCCAGCACCGACCGGACAGGAGAGGAUUGAUGGUUAGACCAAGUGAACCGCACCCCCACCCUAGGGAGCUCAUGAAGCGCGCAAUUACUAAUGAAAUCAUUAAAAUCAUUGGCAAGAGGCCAAGAGAAAUUAGGACUGUUCUUGUCGGCCGGAGAGCGUAACAAAUUGAAAUCACCCCCAAUUAAAAGAGGAAUAUUGCAGGCUUCAAUCUUAAUCCAAAGUUCAUCCAAAAAAAAAGAGGUGCAAGCGUGUGAUCCGCGGGGCCGUAAACCACCAUAAAUUCCCACAAAGUGUUCAGCUCACGAUGAUGAACCACACAGCUAGCCCAAAAAAUGCCAUGAUCAAAAGCAAUGAAGUCAAUCAUGUCCCGCUUGGACCCAAUCAAGAUGCCCCCAGAGUGACCCGAAGCAGGGAGAAAGUGCCAGUCAAACCUAUCCAUCCCAGCCAACGCAGAAAGUUCAGAAGGGGAAAAGGAUUCCUUAAAUGUUUCGACCAACCCUAAAAUGUCAAUAUGUUCACCACAAACCAAGUCAUGAAUCUGGUCUCGGCACCCCCUAGCACCGAAACCACGAAUAUUCCAGAAGAGAGUUCUCAUUUGAAGGAAAGGUUUUUAAUACGAAGACUCGAUCUGCACGGGGCCACAUAAGGCUUAGAGCGCUUGGAAUGAUCGAUCUUAACACGGGCAGGGGGAGCAGACGACUGGCCACAACCAUUUGUCGCACCUACCACCUAGGGCUGGCCCUGAACCCCAGCAGGGCCAGCAACACUCGCGGCCUCCAAGGCCUUAGCAAUAGCAGCCUGGGCUGCCGCAUUGGCCCUAAUGACAGAAAGAAGGUGAGAAGGAGAGCCCAUCCCCGGUUUAGCAUCCACACCAAUAUCAGACACGAUCUACAACAAAUGAUCAUCUGAUAAUGCAGGUAAAAUAAGGCGAACAGGAGAGGCAGGAGAGAUGAUUGGACAGACGAACCUGCAGGAGGAAGAUCCCUGGCCGCAGAGCGUCGCUCCGCCCGCACCGCCACCGAAAUGCCAGAGUCGCGCACACGGCAGCCCUUUCGCGCCGGAGAACACAGCACCAGGGAGCACCGGACCGGCGACGCCGGAACGGGGCCAGACCCCGAGGCAGAGCCCAGAUCCUUCUCCGGACGACGAGCCAGACCCGCCGCCGAAAGCUUGGAGGUAGAAGAAGCCCGACUCUUAGCAGAAAAUUUCCGGAUCGAUGACUUCUUCUUAUUCUUAGUUGAGAGCUCGAUGGAACGCAGGGGGGAGGCGGGAAGAUCCUCGAUCCCAGAGAAGGAAGGAGACUGCGAGCGAGUAGGCACAUUGGAGCACACACCAGAGAAGGGGGCCCCUUACCAACAGCAGCAUCACGGGGAGCCAGGCCCUCUUUUUGAGGGUUAGGAGCUGGGGCAUUGUCCUUGAGCAACUCACAAUUAUCAGGCUCCAGCUUAUCCCAUUCAAACUGAGUGAAGCGUGGAUCCGAACCUCCACUUGGGUUUUGCCCCCCGGCCGAACCAUCACCAUGCAUGUCAUCUUGGUCAGAAGGCUUGGAAGGAGGAGGCGGAGGUGGAACAUGGGGUUCAGCACCCUCAACCCGAACACGAAGUCGCACACCCUCAGGAGAUGGGAAAACAUCCACGGAACCAUGAACACAGAUAGGAUCGAUGCACCACACACUGAGACGAACCGGGCCAACCUUGCCCAGAGACUCCGAAUCAACUUCCAUAGGCUUGCCAAUGAGAUUACCAAAAGCCAUCAUGAACUCCACACAACAAAGCCCAACUGGCACGUCGUCAACUAACACCCAAGUCUUGCUGAGAGGGCCCACCACCUUUGCACCACAAGUAGCCGCUUUGACAGACACCACAAGCUGGUUUAGGGGAAGAGUAAAACUGGUGCACGAGGAGAUCAUCCUUAGACAGUCCUUGGAGGGGAAAACCACUGCGAAUUCAUACUCUGAAAGCUGGCGCACCUACCAGUCCCAGCCACCGUCGUCCCAGAUUUUCAAACCAUCCAGGAGGGUCUGCGGAGAGAUCUUCUGACCACACACCAUGAUGAUGGCCGCAUUAGAGAGGGACAGCGCCGCCAUCACCACAGGAACAUCAGCAUCCAAAGCGAAGAACGAGCAUCCAGGCAAACCCAACCCAAACUAUAUGAAGGAGGGGCUCUUGGUACGAUUACGGCAGUCCACAGUAAGAUGACCAUCGGAGCGGCAGAUGAGGCAGAAGGGUGGGUUAGUGCAUCUAGAUUGGAAGUGUUUCAGGCGGUGGCAGGCAAAGCAAGUCAGGGUCGGAGAAGGGCCCGAGGCAACAGGAUGCUGGCGGAGAGGGGGAGGUGGCGGCGGCAGGAUGCCAUCACCACGGACCGCAGAAGAGGCACCAGGAGCAGAGGGAGGAGCACGCUGGUCCCCGACCAACGAAGAGGAAGAGCCAGGCCCGAAGCGCGGCCCCGAGCGAGAGGCAGCGCCAGCUGCAAACGAGCGAGGAGGUGGCCGAGGCGGAGGGACCGGACCCCUGGCCGGAGCGGGGCGCAGCGCCGACGAGGAUGAGCCACCACCAACGAAGCAGCAGCGGGCUCCCACAGAUCCGGCCCCGACCCCGACACACCACCAGAUCCAGGGAGCACCAUCCCAGAUCUGGCCACGGAGCGCUCCGGCCCCGCCUCCCAAUCCUCCCGCUCGCGCGACAGCUCGCGGGCCGCCUGCUCAUAUUCGAGCUUCGACCACAGCUCCGCCUCAUAGGCCAGAUCGACACCAUUGCCCGGCGAAACUUCACGGGCCCGCUUGCUACCCGAAAGGGCCUCAGAGGAGGAGCCCCUAGACUUGUCCAUGGCGAUCACUUCAGCGAAGGAGAGGAGGAGAGGAGGUGGGGAAGAAGUGGAUCUGGAGAAAUGGCGGAUAGGACGAUGCGCCCUGCGGAUAUCAGCGGCGGAAGCCGGAAACCCUAGGAAGGGGGGAGAGGCACCGCGGCGCACCCAUAUAUAGCUACAACAGGCCAGGCCAGAGUGGGCCGAAUGGGCCGGAAUGGGACAGCGGGCCAAGGGAGGGGACGGACGCGAUGCAGUGGCCACUACCAACUGCCCCGUGCCCACAGACGGGAGGGGAGGGAAAGAAUCGAGAGAGGAUGGAGCCGGGGGCCCGGGCGGCCCAGCCCGAGUCAAUCCAGGCGCCACCAGGCCCAAGUGCCCACCAAGGCCCACCUUGACCACAGGGCAACCCGGAUCUAGGGUUUGGCCACCAUCCGCCCCCGCACACGCCGACGCGACCGCCGCCACCGGCGCCGGCCCCGGCCUGAGAGGAGGACAAUCAGGACCAGCGACCGGUGACGCCACAUCGUCCGGAUCCAACACCACAGAGGAAGGAGGAGGACCGAGGAGACCACGAUCCGGGGAAGGAGCCGGGCCCCGACCCGCCAUGCAUCGGCGCCGAUCAAUGCGCAUCCACCCCGACGAACCAGAGGGCACCGACACCGGCUGGCCCCGGCCGCCCGGAGCAAAUUUCCAGGAGCCACUACUGGAAUCUGGCACUUUGCCAUCUGCCAUGGCAGAUGGCAAAGGCUUUGCCAUCUGCCAGGAGAUGGCAAACAGUUUGUCUGAAACCCUGCCGGUAAAGGCUUCUUUGCCAUCUGCUGGCUGAUGGCAAAGAGCCUGUGGCUUUGCCAUCAGCUAGCAGAUGGCAAAGCCUCUUAACGGGGUUAGCCAUGUUAGAAGGCUAACGGCAUACUUUGCCGUCUGCCAGCAGAUGGCAAAGGCUGCAGGCUCUUUGCCGUCUGCCAACAGAUGGCAAAGGCUGCAUGCUUUGCCAUCUGCCAGCACAUGGCAAAGAGCUUUGCCAUCUGCCGGCAGAUGGCAAAGAGCCCAAAUAGGCCAGCCCAAAUUUUACAUGUAGAUGACACGUGGCCUCUUUGCCAUCUGCCAGCUAAUGGCAAAGCUCUUUGCCAUCUGCUGGCAGAUGGCAAAGUGACUAUAUUGCCCCAUUUAAUUUUAUUUUUUCUUAUAUCAAUUCAUUUUCACCUUCCAAUGAAAUCAGAAAGCAAUAUCAGGGCAUGAACAGAUCUAAAGAACACAAACCACAAGCAUAGACUCGGAGAAGACCAGGCACGACCACUGUGACGUCACUUCCCUUAAUAAUUAUAUCCUUACACUAUACACGUUUCACAACUAUAAUUUGAACACCUGCUUGCCAUAAAUAAAUAUAUGUUUACACUAUACACAAGUGAAUCAUGUUGUGUCAUUUACAUGACGGGUAAAUUAAAUGAACAUGUCUUGAUUAGGUAUGACAUACUUUGGACAAGGAAGAGACCUGCAGAUAAAUAACACAAUUAAACAAACAAGUACUGAAAUAUAAGUGUUCCGCAUUAAGCUUGCUAGUAAGGAAAAUAUCAGGAGAUGGCUUGCUAGCUUUCACCUCUAGAUCACCCCCAUGGCAACUUGAUACAUAGCAAGAAAACAUUCCCCAAUGGUUACAAACCUUCGGUGCAAAAUGACAUUCAUGUCUGAAGACAUCACUAAGAAAUAUCAGGUUCUAUAUGAGUCUGCCUUAUUAAAGAACAGAGAGCAAUGAAGAAAAGUGCAGUACAUUAAAUCAAGGCCAAAUGAUACAUUGCAUGCAUCAGCGAGCAGAAAAAUAAAUGGUGUCUAAUAUUAUAUUUUCCCCUUCCAAUAGAGAGACUCCUAUAUGUUUUCCCCUUCCUGCCCUGUGUGUGUUUUCUUUGCGCGAAAGUUCCUGUUUCAGUCAGAGAGGUAGAACAAUCAGAAAAUGAGAAGGUCUUUCACUUCCUUACAGAAUGAAAUUUCUGUCUUGCAAGUUUACAAAGUCAUCAAGUUAAGCACUUGCGAUAAAAUUACCUGACUCAGAAAGCUGAUAUCACUCAUACAAAAAACAUGUUAUACAAUAUUGAGUUUUGACAUAGCUGGCUGUUAUACAAGUUAUACAAGUUGACCCCAGCCUGUUAAAAUUUAUACAUGCAUAUCAACCAGUGGAACUCCUCACUUGGGGGAGCUGGGGCAGGCCAGUGGGUACCUCAUGGGAUGUGGGGCAGGCCGUCCCCAUGCUCUCUCUCUGCUGUUUAUGUAGCAAUUCGCCUUGUAGUCUGAAGCAUACGAACUUGUAUCAGCAUCUAUAUGUUUAUGUCCCUAUCAUCUUAUAUUUGGAUAAAAUUAUUACUGAAUAAAAUAGCAUCAAGAAAAAAACAAGAGGAACAUAUGAUCAAAAUGCGGUCUGUUAGUGUGCUAAUAUGCAUCUUUGGUGGUACUUUUGCUAAAAACUGAGUGCCCAAAUGAAAGUAAGUGCAACCAGGAGAAAGUAAAACAACCAUACACUGCCUAAAAACAUAGUACAAACUUCACUGACCCUGCUGAAGACGAAAACAAGAGGCUGGAUGAAGAAGCUGCUCCACAGUACUCAAGGAUCGUGGUGAGAGAUGAAAACUUAGAGCUUCAUGGAGAAAUUGCAUGUCUGAAGGUUGUAGAUAGGGCUAGUCAAUCAGUUCAGGUACAAAAAGGGCCCCAGACUGCAGCAAAAUGAACUGAAAGGAUAUCUUCUGAACCUAUAAAAGCUCCAGUUUCUCUAGCAAGGGGAAAAUUCAGAGUUAUACCUAUUGAGUAGAUUUCCAGGCCCGACAGUAUGCAGUGUGCAUGCGAACUCGACCUCUAAACAGAAUACAAUCCGUGCUGGCGGCUGAUAGCUUUCCGAUUGGAACACACAACACGGCUCCCUGCAAAAAGCAAAAAACACAAUAUGGCUUGGCUGAUUGAUUUUCAUUGACUUGAUUCCCGGGAGGAUUACGUACGCUCAAGAUGAGAAAGGCACACCUCCGUACGCCUGAAUCAAGUGCAUUGGUAUACACUAGGCCGUUGCCACACAUCCUGGAGAUACAAGGCACGUCAACAACGCAUCUAUACGCGGCAACGUUGCAGACACAUAGACGGUCAAUCGCACGCACAAUGUCUGUACCAUAUCAGCACAUCCUGUACAAUAUAACUGCUAUGACAUCAAGUGCAUCGGUACCAUGACGCCACCGUAACACCGUUAUCAACUUUGUAUAAUAUAACUGCAGGUACUACUUCUGUGAUUAAAUUUUUGCAUUCUAACAUGUCUGAACAAGUUCCUUACAACUAAUCUGGUAUCAUAUGCAUUAUUAUAGUAGAGUAAAACACUUAUUUCUAAUCAAAAUUUAUAGAUAAAUCUUCUAUUAUAUACUUAAGACAAAAGGCAAACAAGCCAUCACGUUUAUACACAUAUGCUCAAAGAAUUACCAUUGAUUUUAUUUAGAACGGUCGAGAUUGAAAGAUGAACAAAGAUAUGUACAGCACCUAUUCGGUACAAUAAAUUGUUGACACGUAUAAAGAGAUCUAUCAUGAAAAAAAAAACAGUCUUUGGCACGUGAAAAGAGUUUAUCAUAGGCAGGUAUGCGAUAAUCUAUCAUAGAAGGGAACCCAAGGAACUCUAUGCUUGGCUAGGAAAAAGGCCAAUCCGGUUCAACUUCAGAAAAGAAUAGAAGUCCGGUUGCAAGACUGCUGCUUCUUUGCUGGAAUUUAAGCCGAUGCAAGCCGAUGCAAAAGCUAGAGAAAGUCACGUACAAAUAAAAAGGCAAGGUCCUACUAUGACAUCUACUAUCCAAGCAGACACAAAAAAGAACAGAAAAACAUACGAUGCAAGCCUAUUAAAUCGGAACGUGCACACGGUCAGCCCAACAUGUUGUAGAUUCUUAAAAAGAAAAACAUGUUGUACAGGGACACAAUUGUUUUAUCUUGGAGUUGGUACAUGGGCACAAAUUAAUAACGGCUCGAGAGGCUAUGGUAUUUUUUUUAUGGAGGCUAUAGGCUAGCUCUACGCAUGUUGUAACACAAACAGGAAUUCACGGUGGGCAAAUCAGUGCUGAUGUCACCUGUCAAAUCUUACGUGCAAAUAUCAUAGAUAAUACCAGCAGCCUAAUUGAUCAAAUCUUGCAUGCAAUCAGCGUUUCAGUGGCACUCAAGAAGUGGGCGAUGCAUUUAUUUGCUUAUCCUUACAAACUCCAUAAAAAAUCCAUACGAGUUAGAAAGUGAAUGGCAAAUGAGAUGGUUGCCCUGAAACUAAAUGAAAUGAUAAACUAAAAGACAAUAGCAAGUUUGUUUUUUGUAUGAAAUCAAUAACAAAACUUGCAAUCACUUUAUAUAAAAUUGUUGGUUUGAUUUAUAGAAAAUCAGAAUUAAUAAUGAAACAAUAUCAAAAACUAUUUUGUGCAGUGAUACAAUGCCCCUAAAUCACUAAAUGCAGACUAACCUUUAUAUAUGCACCAUCUUAUUUUCUGAACAAAUACUUCGCAUCUCUGCAGAUAUGGAUAUGAAGAAUCAAAAUUAGUAGGUAAUUUGACAUUCUUCUUUCCUGCAAAAUCUAAAAGAGUCAAGUAAAAAUAUCUAAAAGAGUCCAUAAUUAACUAAAUUUUGGAAAUUGCCGAUCAAGAGUUAAUACAUGAAACCAAUCCUAAAAUUCGAAUAAAAAUAAAAUCACUUUGAAUGUGCUAGGCAUACAUAAAAAUCUUCUAUUAGGUGACGAUGACAUAGUAAAGAGGAAUCAAUGAAUCACUUUGAAUGUGCUAGGCAUGUUUAACGAGUGAAUUGCGUCAAGUCUCAACAUUGCUCAUGGUCAUACCUAAUAAAGAGGAAUCAAUGAAUUAGAUUUGGGGGCUUAUAGGCAAUUGCUCAUGGUAGUAAAGAGGAAUCAAUGAAUUAGAUUUGGAUUCACAGCCAUACCUAAUAAACCAGCAAGUCUCAGCAUUGCUCAUGGUCCUUCAAUUUCUCACUGCCCCUUCUAUUUGGCUCGUCAAUCCUUCACUACCCUGCAGCAAGACCUAGGAGAGCCAGAAGGGAGAUUUAGAGUUGGAGGCGAGUCAAAUCGAGAGUUCGACCACAAGAGAAAGAAUAUGGUUACCUGGCCGGCGUUCGGGGAGGCGAGCUCCGCCUCCCACUUGAGCGCCCGGCCCCCGCCGCGCGGCUUCUCCUCCGCCGUCCACUUGACCUUCCGGCCGCCGGGCUCCGUGGCCGCGUAGGUGUACAUGCGGCGCGGUCGGUGAGGUCGUGCAGGAGGAAGGCGUGCGGGGAGGGGAUGGGGGGCGGGGCGAAGAAGGGGUCGGCGGGGAGGUAGAGUUCGAGGAGGUCGGGGUGGUGGGGAAAGGCGAACGGGGAUGGGGAUGGGGGUGGGAGGAAGGGGCAGGAGGCGGAGAGGGAGGAGGUAGGUGGUGGUGCGUGGAUGAGAUGCCAACGUUUUUUUUUACUUGGAUGGGUGGGGAGAGAGGGAGGGGAUAACCCCACAGUAUUUUUUUAUCUGAAAAAAAACCCAUCUCUUUGCCAUCUGCCAGCAGAUGGCAAAGAAUCUUUGCCGUCUGCUGGCAGAUGGCAAAGAGGUGGGACUGAUACGCCGUUACACACUUGACGGCCACAGGAUUUGCCAACCUCUUUGCCAUCUGCUGGCAGAUGGCAAAGAUUAUUUGCCAUCCAUUAGCAGAUGGCAAAGAAUUGGCUGAUGGCAACCAUGUUUUUUGCCGCCUGUCAGUUCUUUGCCAUCUGUUUUUUAUAAGCAGAUGGCAAAGACGUUCUUUGCCAUCUGCCAGCAGAUGGCAAAGAGCUGGCUGAUGGCAAAUUCCCAGUUUUCAGUAGUGAGCGGCCCGAUGCAGGCAUGGACGGCACCACCGACACCACCACCGACGGAGCGCACUCCUCCGAAUCAGAGGCCGACUCCUCCAUGUCGCCCAACGCACAGAAACGCAAGUCGGGGAAGGACGCCGACGCAGAGGGGGCCAGCGCCAGAGCCGACGCGCACCCGGAGCAAGGAGAGCCGACCCGCCCCGCAGACAGCGGGAGGGGCGGCGGGGGGGGAGGGCGGGGGAGCCAUGGGAAGCGGCGAGGGCAGGGGAGGAGGGAGACGGGGCGCAAGGGGACGAAGGGAGAGGAGGGAGAGGAGAGACUGCCAUCUCAUAGUAGUUUCAUCCAUACAAGUUCUGAUAAGUUUCCUUAUUUAGCAUGUGAAAUCCCUUAUUCAACAAUGAUUUUCAGGCCAAAUCAGAUGAUGCAGGUUUUUCCAUUGAAGAGAGCAAAUUAUUCGAGAAAACUGCAAUAUGAGAGGCCUGGUUGGUACCUUCAGAAAGUUGCAUCCUAAUGUUGUGGGUUACACCUUCUGGCGUGAAAAUCAGCUCCAUAACAAGAAAGGUGCAUCACUAUAUUGGUGGAUAAUUUAAUUACAUCAAUGAUGUAAUGGUGCAUUUGCUUUUAGAUUUCUGUUAACCUAGUACCAAAAAGGUAUGCGUGCAUGCUCGAAAAAUCUUAGCAUUUGUGAAUCUAGCUAUUCAGGCAUCCUUGAGUGAUACAUAUUUCUUUGUACAUUGAAAUACAGUUGGACAACAAGCACCUUAUGCCAGUGGUGUUUAUACUCCAAAAUUGCAGUAUCUACCUUUCCCAAAUAACAGAAAAAAAGGUAUGCAAUCUAAAAAACAUGUCAUCAAAAGAGAGUUACGACUUACAAUCCAUG